rnacentral:rRNA from 1 species
UACAGAGGGGGCAAGCGUUAUUCGGAAUUACUGGGCGUAAAGGGCGCGUAGGCGGCGUGUCAAGUCAGGCGUGAAAGCCCCGGGCUCAACCUGGGAACCGCGCUUGAGACUGGCAUGCUCGAGUUCGGGAGAGGAUGGUGGAAUUCCCAGUGUAGAGGUGAAAUUCGUAGAUAUUGGGAAGAACACCGAUGGCGAAGGCAGCCAUCUGGACCGACACUGACGCUGAGGCGCGAAAGCGUGGGGAGCAAACAGG